rnacentral:rRNA from 1 species
AAAGGUCCUACCUGCCCAGUGACUUUGUUAAACGGCCGCGGUAUUUUGACCGUGCUAAGGUAGCGCAAUCACUUGUCUUUUAAAUGAAGACCUGUAUGAAUGGUAUAACGAGGGCUUAACUGUCUCCCUUCUCUAGUCAAUGAAAUUGAUCUACCCGUGCAGAAGCGGGUAUGCAAAUACAAGACGAGAAGACCCUUUGGAGCUUAAGACAACUUAAGCCAACCGUGUUAAGAAUCUUAAAUAAAAUAAACGAAACAAAACAGCAACUGGCCAACGUCUUCGGUUGGGGCGACCGCGGGGGAAAACAAAGCCCCCAUGUGGACUGGGAAAUUCCUAAAACCAAGAGAUACAUCUCUAAGUCACAGAACAUCUGACCCGCAGAUCCGGCCACAGGCCGAUCAACGAACCAAGUUACCCUAGGGAUAACAGCGCAAUCCUCUUCAAGAGUCCAUAUCGACAAGAGGGUUUACGACCUCGAUGUUGGAUCAGGACAUCCUAAUGGUGCAGCCGCUAUUAAGGG